rnacentral:rRNA from 1 species
GACGAACGCUGGCGGCGUGCCUAAUACAUGCAAGUAGAACGCUGAAGGAGGAGCUUGCUUCUCUGGAUGAGUUGCGAACGGGUGAGUAACGCGUAGGUAACCUGCCUGGUAGCGGGGGAUAACUAUUGGAAACGAUAGCUAAUACCGCAUAAUAGUAGAUGUUUCAUGACAUUUGCUUAAAAGGUGCAAUUGCAUCACUACCAGAUGGCCCUGCGUUGUAUUAGCUAGUUGGUGGGGUAACGGCUCACCAAGGCGACGAUACAUAGCCGACCUGAGAGGGGGGUAGGCCAAACUGGGAAUGAGACACGGCCCAGACGCCGACGGGAGGCAGCAGUAGGGAAUCUUCGGCAAUGGACGGAAGUCUGACCGGGCAACGCCGCGUGAGUGAAGAAGGGUGUCGGAUCGGAAAGAUCUGUUGUAAGAGAAGAACGAGUGUGAGAGUGGAAAGUUCACACUGUGACGGUAUCUGAACAGAAAGGGACGGCUAACUACGUG